rnacentral:rRNA from 1 species
UCAGUCGACUCCUACGGGGAGGCAGCAGUGGGGAAUAUUGCACAAUGGGGGGAAACCCUGAUGCAGCCAUGCCGCGUGUGUGAAGAAGGCCUUCGGGUUGUAAAGCACUUUCAGUAGGGGGGAAGGUAGUGUAGUUAACACCUGCACUAUUUGACGUUACCUACAGAAGAAGCACCGGCUAACUCCGUGCCAGCAGCCGCGGUAAUACGGAGGGUGCGAGCGUUAAUCGGAAUUACUGGGCGUAAAGCGCAUGCAGGCGGCCUGUUAAGUCAGAUGUGAAAGCCCGGGGCUUAACCUCGGAAUUGCAUUUGAAACUGGCAGGCUAGAGUCUUGUAGAGGGGGGUAGGAAUUUCAGGUGUAGCGGUGAAAUGCGUAGAGAUCUGAAGGAAUACCAGUGGCGAAGGCGGCCCCCUGGACAAAGACUGACGCUCAGAUGCGAAAGCGUGGGGAGCAAACAGGAUUAGAUACCCUGGUAG